GGACCAUAUUCAUCGGCGCAACGCUUGAGCAAGAUUUGGAUGCACGUUCGCACCGAUGAUUAAUUUAAUGAAAAGAAAUUAAAAUCUUGAUUACCUUGAAAUACAAAAGCUGAGCUUGGUGGCUGGAUGACGUCCUCUUCUUCGGAUACUCGCAAAAGAAAUUUAACAGAGUAGUUAACAGCUCGACAGCAACCAUAAUAAUUAAGUUAUGUUAUACAUUAGGGUGG